GACGAACGCUGGCGGCGUGCUUAACACAUGCAAGUCGAACGGAAAGGCCCUGCUUGCAGGGUACUCGAGUGGCGAACGGGUGAGUAACACGUGGGUGAUCUGCCCUGCACUUCGGGAUAAGCCUGGGAAACUGGGUCUAAUACCGGAUAGGAGCCAUUUUUAGUGUGAUGGUUGGAAAUUUUUUUCGUUGUAGGAUGAGCUCGCGGCUUAUCAGCUUGUUGGUGGGGUAAUGGCCUACCAAGGCGGCGACGGGUAGCCGGCCUGAGAGGGUGGACGGCCACAUUGGGACUGAGAUACGGCCCAGACUCCUACGGGAGGCAGCAGUGGGGAAUAUUGCACAAUGGGCGCAAGCCUGAUGCAGCGACGCCGCGUGGGGGAUGACGGCCUUCGGGUUGUAAACUCCUUUCGCUAGGGACGAAGCUUUUUGUGACGGUACCUAGAUAAGAAGCACCGGCUAACUACGUG
rnacentral:rRNA from 1 species